AUAGUACUCCCUCCGUUCCGAAUUACUUGUCGCAGGUAUGGAUGUAUCUAGAUGUAUUUUAGUUCUAGAUACAUCCAUUUCUGCGACGAGUAAUUUGAAACGGAGGGAGUAGAAC
rnacentral:pre_miRNA from 1 species